UAGGUGGCAGGCUGUAGUCCUGCAAACCUGGGUUUAAAUCCUGUUUCUAUCA
rnacentral:tRNA from 1 species